AGAACCCCUGGCUCAGCUCUAUGAACAGCUGUGGGCUCAAAAUUUUCCAGGGUAGUCUCCCACUCAACGUUAACUUCCCUACCAAUUGUCGUCAAAAUUCAAGGUAUAUUUUUUUUCGAUCCGCCUAAGUAGGUGGGUACCACCUACUAAAAGAUGAACUAUCGAUGGUAACUUCAAUCGAGUGUAAUAAAAUCUCUCGAAAUAAUCAGCAACUUGAUAAAAAUAAUCCAUACAUACAAUUUAGACGAGCACAUGCUUGUAUUCUGAUUUCAAUUCGAAAAUAAGGCAGUUGAAAGCAUCCUAUUUUUCUCAGUGAAUUUUCACAGUAACACAGCAAAAUCAUCAUGGAAAAAUCAGCAAUAAUCACGCAUGCCAAAACCUCGACCAAACUGCAUAAAACUGCUCGAAAUUCAAAUUCAAAAGAAAAAAAAGGAAAAUCGAAUGUUGUACGUUAACAUAUCCAAAAAUUAAUAACUCUGACUAAAAAAAAAUCAUGAUCUUGAAAGUUUUUAAUCUUUCGAUCGCUACGUGGUACAUUGUGUUCUUCAUAGUCGCGUUCGCGUUAUAGUUUACCAUAGUAUCAUAGGUAUAACAAUAGUAUUAUGGAUAAAACGGCCAUAGAGAGUACUCUGUCGAUCCCUUGGAGGCCUAACAACACUAAUCCCAUAGCUACUACAUAAAAAUUCAAUAGGUAUUCGCAACAGCAUCAAUAGGUAUCAAUAAAAAAAUAAUAAAAAAUGUGGUCUGAAAGAGUUACAUUGUAAAAUAAAUUGAAUUGAAUACAUUUUUUUUUUUCAAGUAUAAUGUUAUCGAUUGAUUACAAUUUACAAAACCAUGAAAUCAUGAAAUAGUAACACAUACAAAAUUCAAAUAAUCAUUCGAGUUUUUUUAAUGCCGAGUUAUAAAAAUCUAUCAAACAAUCAUUCAAAAUCUUUAGAAAAUUUCUGGAGGACAUUUUCGUCUAUAGGUAAAAAUUAGAAAUUUUCAAUUUGAGAUAAAAUGAACGAAAAAUGUUGAAAAUUGUUUUGCACUCUAUUUUCAACCUCUUGAGUCGAUUUGUGACGAUUUUCAGCUUUUCUGGCGCCUCCUGCAAAUUAUUGGAUUUUCCUGCAAAAUUGGAAAAUUUUUUUCGAUGUUUUUUUUUUUUUACAAAAUUGUUGUUAAAUCAAAUCAGGGAAAUUCAUUAACUCAAAUCGCAACUUCUGUGGGGGGGGGGGUUAUUGAGGGAUUGCACAUGUUAUAGUAUCCCAAAAGUAAUAAAAAACCACUGGUUUUUCGAAAAUGAAUCCACUUUGAGAAUCCCUGGCUCAUCCCUCUGAGCAGCUGGAGGGCUAAAAACUGUUCUGGGUACGUACAGUCUUUCACUCAACGUAAACUUUUCUACCAAUUUUCGUCAAAAUUCAAAAUAUAUUUUUUUCCAAUCGGCCUUAGUAGAUACGUAGGUAGGUACGUCUACGUACCACCUACUAAAAGAUGAAUUAUCGAUGAAAACUUCAAUCAAGCGUAAUUAAAUCUCUCGAAUUAAUCAGCAACUCGAUAAAAUAAAUCAUGAGUACAAUUUUGUCGAGCACAUUAAGGCAGUUGAAAGCAAUAAAGCAUCCUGUUUUCCUCAAGUGAAUUUUCUCUGUAACACAGCAAAAUCAUCAUGAAAAUAAUUACAAGAUUAAUUCAGUUCGGUCUCUGGUACAUGUUGAUGGUCGCAGUCACGGCCAUAGCAUAGGUAACAAUAGUGUUAUGGAUAAAAUAGCCAUGGAGAGUACUCUGUCCCUUGGAAGCCUAAUACAAAACUAAUCCCACACUACAUAAAAAUUCAAAAUUCGCAUCAGCAUCUGUAUCAAUAAAAAAAUGAUCAAAUAUAUGGGCUAAGACAAGUUAGUAUGUAAAAUGAAUUAGAUUCAAUUCUUCUUCUUUUUUUUAAAGCAACUUUGCUGAAGUAAAAUAUCAUUAAGUAAUUGAUUAUGAAACCAUGAAAUGGAAAUACACAAUUCAAAUAAUCAUUCGAGUGGUUUAAAUGUUAUAAAAUGCUACAGCAUGGAUUAAAUAUGUGAAAACGAUGGACUCAUUAAUUUUUUUUUUGAUGGUGUUUACAAUCGUUUAAAAAAAAAAAGAUUCCACUUCGGUGACCCUUGCUCAGCUCUCUGGACAGCCAGGGGGCUCAACAUUUUUCUGGGCAGUUUUCCACUCAACAUUGAAUUUUUCGUAUUUAGAAAAAUUAGUCUUAUGAGCUUGAAACAUCUAAAUCAAAAAUGGGGGGGGGGGAAGUAGUUUACUCAAAAAAGUGCGCAGAAUCUGAAAAUGACAUAGUUUUUUUUUUUUCGCAAAACAAUACGGAUGUCGCUACGAACCCUUGAAGUAGGGCAAAAACGGCCAUUUUCGCAACUUUGACAGUCCUUCCUGACCACAAAAACAACUCAAAAUUAAAAACGUCACUCUGUUUUUUGUUUUAGGGUCUAAACUAUCGACUAAGCCUAUUUUAAACCCAAGUACAAAAAAAAGUCAAAAAAAUUAUCUAGUGUUAUCGAUGAAAACUUCAAUCGAGCAUAAGAAAAUCUCUCGAAUUAAUCAGCAACUCGAUAAAAUAACCCACGAACGGAUACAAUUUUGUCGAUCACAUGAUUUUUUAAUUUCAAUUCGAAAAUAACGCAGUUGAAAGCAUCCUGUUUUCCUCAGUGAAUUUUUCUCAUUAGGUAGCACAGCAAAGUCGUCAUGAGAACUUAUUCGUCAAUAAUCCAGGUUGCUCUCUGGUACUUUGCGGCGUUCGCAGUUGUGUUCUUUUUUUAGUUUACCAUAGUAUCAUAGGUAGGUAACAAUAGUGUUAUGGACAAUACGGCCAUAGAGAGUGGCCUGUCCUUUGAAGGCCUACAAUAUUCGCAACAGCAUUAAUAGUAAAUAAAGAAAUGAUCAAAAAUGUGGCCUAAAAGGAGUUAGUAAAAUAAAUUAAACUGAAUAGAUACCUACAUUUUUUUUUUACCAACUUGCUUAGUACCUACCUAAAUGUUUUUUAAUUCAGUAUAAGUAUAAGUAUGUUAUCGAUUGAUUACAAAACCAUGAUAUAGGCUAGAAAUACGAAGUUCAAAUGAUAAUUUGAGUUUUUUUUAUGUCAUAAGAGUAAAAACCUACCCAACAAUUGUUCAAAAUGUUUAGAAAAUUUCUAGAGAACAUUUUCGUCUAUAGGUACAGUUAAAAAUUAGAAAUUUUUAAUUUGAGAUAAAAUGAACGAAAAAUGUUGAAAAUUGGUUUGCACUCUUAUUUUCAACCUCUUGAGUCAAUUUGUGACGAUUUUCAGCUUUUCUGGCGCCUCCUGCAAAUUAUUGGAUUUUCCUGCAAAAUUGGAAAAUUUUUUUCGAUUUUUUUUUUUACAAAAUUGUUGUUAAAUCAGAUCAGGGAAAUUCAGAAACUCAAAUUGCAACUUUUUUAGGGGGUUAUUGAGGGAUUGCACAGGUUAUAAUAUCCCAAAAGUAGCAUAAAGCCACGGGUUCUUCGAAAAUGACUCCACUUUGAGGACCCCUGGCCUGGCUCAGCCCUCUGAACAGCUGAAAGGCUAAAAAUUGUUCUGGGUAGUCUCUCAUUCAACGUAAUCUUUCUUACCAAUCUUCGUCAAAAUUCAAAAUAUAUUUUUUUCCAAUCGGCCUUAGUAGGUAUGUAGGUAGGUCCCACCAACUAAAAGAUGAGUUAUCGAUGAAAACUUCAAUCGAGCGUAAUAAAAACGCUCGAAUUAAUCAGCAACUCGAUAAAAUAAAUCAUGAGUACAAUUUUGUCGAGCACAUCAAGGCAGUUGAAAGCAUCCUGUUUUCCUUAGUGAAUUUUCUCUGUAACACAGCAAAAUCAUCAUGAAAAUUAUUACAAGAUUAAUCCAGUUCGGUCUCUGGUACAUGUUGAUGGUCGCAGUCUCGGCCAUAGCAUAGCUAACAAUGGUGUUAUGGAUAAAAUGGCCAUAGAGAGUACUCUGUCCCUUGGAAGCCUAACAACACUAAUCUCAUACUUCAUAAAAAUUCAAUAUUCGCAUCAGCAUCAUGUAUCAAUAAAAAAAUGAUCAAAAAUAUGGGCUAAAACAAGUUAGUAUGUAAAAUGAAUUAGAUUCAAUUCUUCCUUUUUUUUUUUUUACCAACUUUGCUGAAGUUCAUGUAUAUGUAAUUAUUUGAUUAUAAAACCAUGAAAUGGAAAUACACAGUUCAAAAAAUCAUUCGAGUGGUUUAAAUGUUAUAGAAGGCUACAGCAUGGAUUAAUAUGCGAAAACGAUGGACUCAUUAAUUCUUUUUGAUGACGUUUGCAAUCGUUUAUUUGAAAAUGAUCCCACUUUGAUGACCCCUUGCUCAGCCCUCUGGACAGCCAGGGGGCUUAAAAUUUUUCUGGGUGGUCUUCCACUCAACAUUGAAUUUUUUGUAUUUAGAAAAAUUAGUCUUAUGAGCUUGAAACUUCAAAAAUCAAAAAUCGGGGGAAGUAGUUUACUCAAAAAAGUACGUAGAAUCCGAAAAUGACCUUGGUUUCUUUCGUAAAACAAUACGCAUAUAUCGCUACGAACUCUUGAAGUAGGGCAAAAACAGCUCCAUUUUCCCAACUUUGACAGUCUCUCCUGACCACAAAAACAACUCAAAAUGAAGAAACUCACUCUGUUUUUUAUUUUAGAAUCCAAACUAUCGAUUACACCAAUUUUCAACCCAAAUACAAAAAAAAAGUCAAAAAAAUUAUUUAGUGUUAUCGAUGAAAACUUCAAUCGAGCGUACUAAAAUCUCUCGAAUUAAUCAGCAACUCGAUAAAAUAACCCACGAACAGAUAUGUACAAUUUUGUUGAUCAAAUGAUUUUUCAAUUUCAAUUCGAAAAUAAGACAAUUGAAAGCAUCCUGUUUUCCUCAGUGAAUUUUCUCAGUAGAUAACACAGAAAAGUCUUCGUCAUGAGAACUUAUUCGUCAAUAAUCCAGGUUGCUCUCUGGUACCUUUCGAUGUUCGUACCCCUGUUGUUUUAUUAGUUUACCAUAGUACCAUAGGUAGGUAGCAAUAGUGUUAUGGACAAAACGGCCAUAGAGAGUGCCCUGUCCUUUGAAGGCUUAACACAAACUCCAUACUUACUGUAUAAGAUUCAAUAUUCGCAACAGCAAUAAUAGUACCUAAAUAAAGAAAUGAUCAAAAAUGUGGCCUAAAAGAAGUUAGUAAAAUAAUUUCAAUUGAAUAGACACCUACAUUUUUUUUACCAACUUGCUUAGUACCUACCUAAAUGUUUUUUAAUUCAGUAUAAGUAUGUUAUCGAUUGAUUACAAAACCAUGAUAUAGGCUAGAAAUACAAAGUUCAAAUGAUCA